rnacentral:rRNA from 1 species
GAUGAACGCUGGCGGCGUGCCUAAUACAUGCGAGUCGAGCGAACAGACGAGGAGCUUGCUCCUCUGACGUUAGCGGCGGACGGGUGAGUAACACGUGGAUAACCUACCUAUAAGACUGGGAUAACUUCGGGAAACCGGAGCUAAUACCGGAUAAUAUAUUGAACCGCAUGGUUCAAUAGUGAAAGACGGUUUUGCUGUCACUUAUAGAUGGAUCCGCGCCGCAUUAGCUAGUUGGUAAGGUAACGGCUUACCAAGGCAACGAUGCGUAGCCGACCUGAGAGGGUGAUCGGCCACACUGGAACUGAGACACGGUCCAGACUCCUACGGGAGGCAGCAGUAGGGAAUCUUCCGCAAUGGGCGGAAGCCUGACGGAGCAACGCCGCGUGAGUGAUGAAGGUCUUCGGAUCGUAAAACUCUGUUAUUAGGGAAGAACAAAUGUGUAAGUAACUAUGCACGUCUUGACGGUACCUAAUCAGAAAGCCACGGCUAACUACGUG